rnacentral:lncRNA from 10 species
GUAAGCAAUUCUCAUUUCAGAGUCACCUGACAUUCCCGGGGGGGCCCUCCCUUUCCUGUUCAAGUAUGCCUAACUAGCCAGUCUAGGAGUUUAUGGCCUCUCUUUAUAUGGCAUGAAGAACAAAAGAAGAGAAAACUGCUUUCCUAUGAGCCCCCUCUUCUGAAGAGACAUUUCCUGGCAGCGUGCUGUGGUCUUGUCUGGAGGCAAUCAAUAUGGGGCCUGUUGGAAUGAUAUGUGCCAGCUGGGAUUUCUGCCUCAUCACACUGCCAGAGAGAAGAGUGUGAAGCCCGCUUGGAGAAGAGGAGGAGGCUGAAAAGAAGGCAAAGAGUGAAGAUAGAGAAACAAGAUGGAAGUGGGGGAGAAAAACAGGGAUGAGAGAAUGCCAUGGUGGUGCUGAGAAGGAAAGGAGAGACUUUUCUGCUUGUAAAGGGCAGAAGAUGGCAGAAUCCAGUGACGCAGGGGCAUCUGGCUCCAGAAAUAAUAGGUCACUUGGCACCCACUUCUUCAAAACAGAGCAGGAGAAGAUCAGAGAAAUCUGCUACAAAACCAAGGAGGUGAGGGAGAAGAGGACCAAAUACUGACCUAGCACAUGCUCACUCUUCUCACAGGUGACUGUGGUUAUGACUGGCUAAAUAAUUUGUGAGAUUCAAUGAAAAAUGAAAGUGCAGGGCACCCACUUAAAAAGUAAUUGAGAAUUUCAAGACAGAGAUGGCAGAGCAUUAAACCAAGCAUGGUUUCGUUCUAAGCACGUGGACCUCUGUGACUGCA